AAUGGCUGGAUUGGAAACACUGGUAGGAUACAGAGUAGUUACACCUGGUCGACGAAAUAUCGGAAAGAUACGUGGAUACACUUUCAACAUUAACUCGG